GUGUUGUAUGAAAGGAGAGGUUAGCACUCCCCUUGACAAGGGUGGAGGAGGCCCUCGGGCCUGACAACAUACCUGUAGUUAAGAUGUCGCCACCUACUUGGUGGCAUCUAACCAUGUAAGUGC